CUCUCUGCUUUCUUUGGGCCCCUCUUUUUGUUUACUUAGCUGCUUAGUCGCUGUGUGUCGGCUCCCUUUUCUUUUUCCCUCAUUUUGGGACGACUACUUUCCGGAGUCGCAGUUUCUUCUGUCUUUUCGGGUUUCCUCUUUCAAAGAAGGGCAACGGCAACUUGUUCGGUUCAAAUGCCUUCAUUAACGACGCACACAGAUCUGGAAGGGGAAAAUGUGGGGAGCCCUAUGGAAAUUCCGUGUCACGGAUUCCCGGACCGGGUCGAAGGGAAGAGUGCCCAGUGCUCGGGCAGACGACCUUCUCAUCCCCCGAAUUCAUUUCGGUUUACAUUUUCGCAACCUCUACCUGACCUGACAGCACUUCCCCCACCACCGCGAUCCGAAACAAGCCCGCUGAUACGGAAAACUCACCCGAAAUCCGUGCCUCAAACGCUGAGACCUUCUAAUUAUAUUUAUUUCAGAGGCAGCCAGCUCCUUUGGUUACCAAUUAGGCCCAGAUUGUUUGCCCCCGACCAAGAUUGCGGCCAGGAAACUCAGCACUGUCAACAAGAUAUCUCUAAACGGGUCAUUAAUAGGAACCUAUGAAUGUACGUGCAUUUAGGGAAAAGCCACCAAACUGGUUCCAGUUCAGAAAAACCUCCCCUGGCAUUGCCAUCGUAUUCGGGGAAAAUAAAAAUGUAAACAAAGGAAGCAGAAGCCCCUUGAUAAGGCGCCAUUUCUUGCCAAGUUAUCAUUCUAAUGAAAAAUUCCUUGGCCGCCAGGCCGAAUCGCUUCACAAAAGGAAAAUGUAAAAGAAUGUGGAAACAUGCGCAGUACCGUCCGACUUUCCAGGGAGGGUUUGAGGUUUUGAGGCGGGAAAAAAGCCCAGGGGUGACUUGAUUUUCCCGAAAAUCAAAAGAUGUUGCAAGGACAAUUGUUUCCGAGCAGUACCAAACCAGCGAGCUGUGCAUUAUCGCGGAUAAUUCGGUCUGGCUGCAGCUCAUUCAACGCAGGAAACCACCACUGGCCUAAUCAUUUCGAAGGCGGAAACGCCAGAACUUCUAUCGCCUGGAAGCGACCAAGUCUUCGCUUUCCCUAUCUACUGCGCAGCAGCUGGCCAAGAUUUUGCGCCUUUUGUGCGCAAUUCCCAGUCCCCCGUCUUCACAUCUCCGCCAUUCAAGAGCGCUCCUCUACGAGCUUUGUGCGCCAAAUGGGGUUU